rnacentral:misc_RNA from 1 species
CACCCCUCAAACUUAGGUGUUUGAAGUUGGGUACUGCCCCCGGGGCAUACCUAAAAAUCAGCGACGGUUCCAGCCAACCUCAGACGUACAAGUAUCGUCGGCGGGGCGGCGGGGCCCAGUCUCCAGCAUAACGCUUCUAAA